rnacentral:rRNA from 1 species
GACGAACGCUGGCGGCGUGCUUAACACAUGCAAGUCGAACGAUGAAGCCUAGCUUGCUAGGUGGAUUAGUGGCGAACGGGUGAGUAAUACGUGAGUGACCUACCUUUGACUCUGGGAUAAGCCUGGGAAACUGGGUCUAAUACCGGAUACGACCAAUCUCCGCAUGGGGUGUUGGUGGAAAGCGUUAUGGAGUGGUUUUAGAUGGGCUCACGGCCUAUCAGCUUGUUGGUGAGGUAAUGGCUUACCAAGGCGACGACGGGUAGCCGGCCUGAGAGGGUGACCGGCCACACUGGGACUGAGACACGGCCCAGACUCCUACGGGAGGCAGCAGUGGGGAAUAUUGCACAAUGGGCGCAAGCCUGAUGCAGCGACGCCGCGUGAGGGAUGACGGCCUUCGGGUUGUAAACCUCUGUUAGCAUCGAAGAAGCGAAAGUGACGGUAGGUGCAGAGAAAGCGCUGGCUAACUACGUG